rnacentral:rRNA from 1 species
UACGUAGGGGGCAAGCGUUGUCCGGAUUUAUUGGGCGUAAAGAGCGUGUAGGCGGCCAGACAGGUCCGUUGUGAAAACUCGAGGCUCAACCUCGAGACGUCGACGGAAACCGUAUGGCUAGAGUCCGGAAGAGGAGAGUGGAAUUCCUGGUGUAGCGGUGAAAUGCGCAGAUAUCAGGAAGAACACCCGUGGCGAAGGCGGCUCUCUGGGACGGUACUGACGCUGAGACGCGAAAGCGUGGGGAGCGAACAGG